CAAAGUGCUCAUAGUGCAGGUAGUUAUUGAACCAGAUCUACUGUAAUGUGGGCACUUACAGU
rnacentral:pre_miRNA from 1 species